rnacentral:rRNA from 1 species
AAUCAACGCUGGCGGCGCGCUUAACACAUGCAAGUCGCACGAGAAAGGGAGCAAUCCUGAGUACAGUGGCGCACGGGUGAGUAACACGUGGAUUAUCUACCUUUUAGUGGGGAAUACCUCUGGGAAACCGGAGACAAUACCGCAUAAGCCUGUAAAGGGAAAGCAGCAAUGCGCUGAAAGAGGAGUCCGCGGCUGAUUAGCUAGAUGGCGGGGUAAUGGCCCACCAUGGCGAAGAUCGGUAGCCGGCCUGAGAGGGCACACGGCCACACU